rnacentral:rRNA from 1 species
AACGAACGCUGGCGGCAUGCCUAACACAUGCAAGUCGAACGAGGCCUUCGGGUCUAGUGGCGCACGGGUGCGUAACGCGUGGGAAUCUGCCCUUGGGUUCGGAAUAACAGUGGGAAACUACUGCUAAUACCGGAUGAUGACGUAAGUCCAAAGAUUUAUCGCCCAAGGAUGAGCCCGCGUAGGAUUAGCUAGUUGGUGAGGUAAAGGCUCACCAAGGCGACGAUCCUUAGCNGGUCUGAGAGGAUGAUCAGCCACACUGGGACUGAGACACGGCCCAGACUCCUACGGGAGGCAGCAGUGGGGAAUAUUGGACAAUGGGCGAAAGCCUGAUCCAGCAAUGCCGCGUGAGUGAUGAAGGCCUUAGGGUUGUAAAGCUCUUUUACCCGGGAUGAUAAUGACAGUACCGGGAGAAUAAGCCCCGGCUAACUUCGUGCCAGCAGCCGCUGUAAU